GACGAACGCUGGCGGCGUGCCUAAUACAUGCAAGUCGAGCGAAGCGGCGGAUGGGUGAGUACCGCGUGGGUAACCUGCCCUUAAGUCUGGGAUACCAUUUGGAAACAGAUGCUAAUACCGGAUACUAAAGUCUGGACCUGCGUUGCAUUGGCUAGUUGGUAAGGUAACGGCUUACCAAGGCGAUGAUGCAUAGCCGAGUUGAGAGACUGAUCGGCCACAGUGGGAAUGAGACACGGACCAAACUCCGACGGGAGGCAGCAGUAGGGAAGCUUGCACAAUGGACGAAAGUCUGAUGGAGCAACGCCGCGUGAGUGAAGAAGGGUUUCGGAUCGUAAAGCACUGUUGUUGGUGAAGCGGUAAUCAACCAGAAAGUAACGGCUAACUACGUGCCAGCAGCCGCGGUAAUAC
rnacentral:rRNA from 1 species